rnacentral:rRNA from 1 species
UACGUAGGUGGCAAGCGUUGUCCGGAUUUACUGGGCGUAAAGAGCGCGCAGGCGGUCGAGUAAGUCGAAUGUGAAAGCCCCCGGCUUAACUGGGGAGGGUCAUUCGAUACUGUUCGACUUGAAGGCAGGAGAGGGCAGCAGAAUUCCCGGUGUAGUGGUGAAAUGCGUAGAGAUGUGGAGGAACACCGAUGGCGAAGGCAGCCCCCUGGGCUAACACUGACGCUCAUGCACGAAAGCGUGGGGAGCAAACAGG